CAGCCGGAAAUUCACGUCGAGAUCGGAAAAUCGGAGCAUCGGGUUGUUUUCUCCGACAGACCUUCCAGUGGGGAGAGCAGAGGUGCUGUGAGUGAAACUGCUUCUUCUUUUGGAUCUGGUACCGUCGGGCCGGAGGUUUCACACCUGGGUUGGGGUAGAUGGUAUACUCUGAGAGAGCUCGAGGCAGCCACUAAUGGCUUGUGUGAGGAGAAUGUGAUUGGAGAAGGUGGGUAUGGGAUCGUGUAUUUGGGCGUUUUAGCAGACGGUACCAGAAUUGCUAUCAAGAACCUCUUAAAUAACAGGGGUCAAGCUGAGAGGGAAUUCAAAGUGGAAGUUGAAGCAAUUGGACGCGUAAGGCACAAGAAUCUUGUCAGGUUGCUGGGAUAUUGCGUUGAGGGUGCAUAUAGAAUGCUUGUUUAUGAGUACGUUAACAAUGGCAAUCUAGACCAAUGGCUUCAUGGCGAUGUUGGUGACGUGAGCCCCUUGACGUGGGAGAUUCGUGUUAACAUCAUACUCGGAACAGCAAAGGGAUUAGCCUAUCUUCAUGAGGGUCUUGAACCGAAGGUUGUUCAUCGUGAUGUAAAAUCUAGCAACAUACUGCUAGAUCGUCAGUGGAAUGCUAAAGUAUCGGAUUUUGGACUGGCCAAGCUUCUUUGUUCUGAAAGGAGCUAUGUGACAACUCGUGUAAUGGGCACAUUUGGCUAUGUUGCUCCCGAGUACGCUUGCACUGGAAUGUUGAAUGAGAAGAGUGAUGUUUAUAGCUUUGGAAUUCUAAUUAUGGAGUUAAUUUCCGGGCGAAGCCCUGUUGAUUAUGGUAGACCCCAAGGAGAGGUAAAUUUGGUGGAUUGGUUGAAAUCCAUGGUUGGAGACCGAAAAUCCGAGGAAGUGGUUGACCCCAAGUUGCCCGAGAAGCCUCCUUCCAAAGCACUGAAACGUGUUUUGCUGGUUGCUCUUCGGUGUGUUGAUCCCGAUGCAACGAAGAGGCCGAAAAUGGGGCAUGUCAUCCACAUGCUUGAGGCAGAUAAUUUACUGUCUCAUCAUGAACAUCGGGUCGGUAGGGAUUCUUCCCACUCAAUUCAAGGUGAUCAACAUGAGAACCGGGCCGUUCCAAGACGAGUUAACAAUCAGAAAGAUGAAGGAACAUCUUCUAAUAUAAGUGAAGGUGAGAGUGAUGGAAAUACUCAACAUCCAAGUAGGUGGAGAUAAUAAUGUACCGUAUUGGCACGAUACAUGACUAACUCUUCAAGUUUCUCCGAAGUUGGGAGCCGUAACAUCCAAAAUAUCAACCAACAGUUAUAGGGUUUGCUCUAUAGAUUCUUUUUUUCUGCACUUCAGAUGCAUCCCAUCUCCAGUUAGGUUGCUUUUCUAAUCUUCAUAUGUAUUAGUCUCAUUCUUACAGAAACCAUAAGAAUUGCUACACGUUCUCUCUUGUUAGAUAUGGGGCGUCCUGUUCGGUUUCGUUAAAUCUUAGUUGCUUUCUGUCUUGAUAUUGACUUGACAAAAUCAUUGUCUAUGUAUAAUUAGCUUUAAGGGUAGGGCACCUAGUUUCUGUUUGGUAAGGAUAGCUCUUGUGUCAUUGUACAUCUAGAAUUAUGCCCUUCUAUUACGGAGAUAGCCUGCCCCGUCAACUGUUUGGUUGAGCACCUAACCAGCUAUGUUGAUGGAAUUGGUUGAAACUGCCAACGAGAUUGCCGAACCGAGAAUUGUAUGCUUCUGGGGUGUGGUCCCUGCGACCAGCAAGUCUGGUAGAGACAACUCCAACUGCAACUUAUCCUUCAUGUGCUCUUUGCUCUGACCUGACUGGACCAGUAAGGAAGGCUAAGAUGUGGACUAGAACUGAGGUGUUCAUUGUUGAAAACACGACGGGUUUUUGUCUGAUCUACACGUUUGUUUGGCUGCCCGAAGUCUCGUUCUAUGCUGGCUGUGGAUGUUUCUGAAGGGAUCAAUCUUUUGGUUUAUCUGCACCAUACACUGUCCUUUCAAGCACUUGCCAUCUCUCUGUCAAACUGAAAGAUGGGGAGCUCCUUCCUUAUCCAAAGCUUGCUUUUUGGAAUCUGAGUCCUAUGUGACUUGAGCAAGUUUGCUUCUUGUUCCUUAAACAGAAGAGCUUUGCCAUUUGUCGACAUUUUCGGCGUCGAAUUGGCAUAUUUAUCGACGAAUUAGAGAAUAUCCAAUAUUUAUGUUCAUCAAUUUAUUUGAGAAUGUCUUCCAUGUGUAUGUUUUUUUAUGAAAUAUUUUUCUAUAAGUGGUGCAGUGCUUGUUUAGUUGACGUGCUAAUUCACAUGCAAUUGACAAAUCUAUAUGGCACGAUAUAGAGUUGAGUCUUUUUUGUUUAAGUUCAACAAUUACACGGCGGAGGAUUGAGCUACCAACUUUAAG